GAUCCUCCUUGCUUUGGCGGAACAUAUACUAAAAUUUGAACGAUUCAGAGAAGAUUAGCCCUGCGCGAGGAUGACACGCAAAAUCGUUACGGGACCGCGGUGACAGGGUUUA